AGUGAACGCUGGCAGUAGGCCUAACACAUGCAAGUCGAACGGCAGCACAGAGGAGCUUGCUCCUUGGGUGGCGAGUGGCGGACGGGUGAGGAAUACAUCGGAAUCUACUCUGUCGUGGGGGAUAACGUAGGGAAACUUACGCUAAUACCGCAUACGACCUAAGGGUGAAAGCAGGGGAUCUUCGGACCUUGCGUGAUUGAAUGAGCCGAUGUCGGAUUAGCUAGUUGGCGGGGUAAAGGCCCACCAAGGCGACGAUCCGUAGCUGGUCUGAGAGGAUGAUCAGCCACACUGGAACUGAGACACGGUCCAGACUCCUACGGGAGGCAGCAGUGGGGAAUAUUGGACAAUGGGCGCAAGCCUGAUCCAGCCAUACCGCGUGGGUGAAGAAGGCCUUCGGGUUGUAAAGCCCUUUUGUUGGGAAAGAAAUCCAUCUGGUUAAUACCCGGGUGGGAUGACGGUACCCAAAGAAUAAGCACCGGCUAACUUCGUGCCAGCCGCCGCCGUAA
rnacentral:rRNA from 1 species